rnacentral:sRNA from 1 species
GCCGGGCAUAGUGGCUUGUGCCUGUAAUCCCAGCUACUAGGGGAGGCUGAGGCAGGAGAAUCACUUGAACCUGGGAGGCAGAGGUUGCAGUGAGCUGAGAUUGCGCCAGUGCACUCUAGCCUAGGUGACAGAGCAAGACUGUGUCUCAAAAAAAAAAAAUUGUGUUUUUUUUUUAAAGAAAAGAGGCUGGGUUUAGUGGCUUAUGCCUGUAAUUACAGCACUUUAGGAGGCUGAGACGGGCAAAUCACCUGAGGUCAGGAGCUCGAGACCAGCCUGGCCAACAUGGCGAAAUCCUGUCUCU